rnacentral:lncRNA from 12 species
UAUAUAUAUAUAUAUAUAUAUAUAUAUAUAUAUAUAUAUAUAUAUAUAUAUAUAUAUAUAUAUAUAUAUAUAUAUAUAUAUAUAUAUAUAUAUAUAUAUAUAUAUAUAUAUAUAUAUAUAUAUAUAUAUAUAUAUAUAUUAAACUUUUUAUUUUAAACUUCAUAUUUAUUUGGCUGCACAAACUAAUUUAGUAUAAUUUAGUUUUAUUUCAGUGUUAAUUUUUAUUUUAUUUAAUAAAUGUUAUUGCUUCUAGUGUUUAUUAAUAUUUUAUAAAUUAUUAAAUUAUUUAAUAAUUUAUCAAGCUUUUAUUUGUAUAUUUUAGUUUUUUAGUAAUUUAGUUGUCCUUUUGUCAUUUUUAUUUUUCAAAAUCUAUUUGUUUUAUUUCAGUGUUAAUUUUUAUUUUAAUUAAUUUUAGUGCUUCUAGUGUUUAUUAAUAAUUACAAUAAAAAAUAAUAUAAAAGUUAUAUUAUAUAAUAUAUAUAUAUAUAAUAUGUGUGUGUGUGUAUAUAAUUUAGUUUAUUGCCUUAAAAUUUCUUGAUUCCUUGAGCUCAUCAGGAUAAACACCCCAGCGUUCUUAAAGCAUGUCUUUUCAAACCCGUGUUUGUUUCUGGUUGGUGUAUUGUGUGUGUGUUGAACAGCUCUCGGUCGCGCGGCAGACACCGGAGGAGCAGAAGUCGUGAGAACCACAGGCACAGGUCACGUGAUCCCGGCCGCAGACGCCACCGAUCGGCCUCGCGUUCUCCGUCACGUGACUCCAAAUACAAGGUCAAGAGCCGGCGCUCUCGCUCCCGGUCCAGAUCCAGAUCCAGAUCGACCAGUCCACCCGCGGAGGAGCUGCAGGCGUCGGCCGGCUCGCGCGAGGACGAACCCCGCAGCCGCUCGCGCUCCAGGUCCUGGUCCGGACGCAAGUCUGGAGGCCGCUAGCGCGCGCUCUGCUUUUAAAUACUGUAUGGUGCAGCUUUACAUCGAAUCUUUGUGUGUUUAAUCAUGACUGCUUGUUCUCGUUCUUAUUGAUAUUUGAUGUUUGAAAGUUGUUCAUUCUUUUGUAAGAAACGUGCUUUGAUGCCAGUAUGGCUUUAUUUUUAUAAACAAAGACGAGCAGAAACCCAGCUGUUUUAUUUCUUUCUUUGAUUGUAGAAAGAUGCGUGCAGAAACAGUGAAAAAUGGGAGAAAACUGGGAUGACAGUGUUUUGAUUUAAAGAUUAGUGUUAAGUUUUUCUUCAAAAGUUAUCAUGUAUUUGAAACUCGAUUUGUAUUAAGUCUCGAUCGUAGCAUCUGUUUAUAUUGAAGACGUAGUAUUUUUGUCAUUGCAAAAUAAACACGAUUUCAACCGCGUGAUUUAAAAUCUUUCAAAUCUGCUUUGAACAUUGAUACAUUUUGUUGACUCUACAGUUAAAAAAAAAAAUCCACUUGUGAUGCUAUAGAGCAAAAAUUAAAAGGAAAUAAAAAUCAUUUAAAUUACCUUUUUGGUUUAAAGCAUUAAAAUAAACUAUUUCAACAGCAUUGAUUCAUCUUAAUCUAUUUUAACAUUUACUAAUACAUUUUAAAAUCAAAAGUUGGAUCUGUCACAAAUGCACUGAACUAAUUUUGUAUUUGUUAACAAAGGUUGAUGCUUUAAUGUUACCAAGACCUUGUUGCAAAGUAUUACUUUUACUGCAUUUCAAUUUAAAACGAAUUUGUUACUAGAUAUUUUUAACUUUAGGCUUAAGUCAGCUGGUGGCGUCAUUUGAGCUGACUGAAUGAAGCCCCCUGGUUCUGCAGGUGUUUUCUUUGACAUUUUCUUGCACAGUUGACAAAACAUCCCCGUCAUAAACCACCAUCAUCUGUGUUGCUCCGUCACAUCAGGACUGGGUCUUUAUAAACUGCAUACUAGCUCUCAAAGCAGUGUUUUAAUGUAUGUUUCAAACAGCAGUAAACUAUAACCAUGUUGCAUGUUUCAUUUCACAAAUAGCGUUCGAUUAUCGUCUUGCACAUACACAGCUACUCUGCAGAUUUAAUCCAGUUUUGCAUACAAAUGUCUGAACGCUCAAAUAAUCUGUUUCUACAAGUAUUUAAUUCUUCACACUGUAAAUGUAAAGUCAUUGGAAUUGAGUUUUAAUGCAGCGCAUGCAAUACACUGUGCUGUUGUAUCGCAAAAGUAGCAGGUUUCUGGGUAUUCAAUACUUUAAAAAUGGUAAAGUCUGUACUUGAAAUGACAUGUUUCUGUAGUUACAGUAGAUGAAACUGCUCAUUUUUAAACUGUGAAUUAAAUUUACAUCUUGUGACAAACUUAUUAAAGUGACGGGACAGCAUGAGGCUUUAUUUAACGAAAAACAAACACUAAAUUAUUUUAAAAAAAUGCUACAAAUUUGCCUUUUCAAACAUGGCCAAAAAUAGUAAAAGUGGAAAACUUUUUUUAAUUUUAAAAAUAUUUUAAAUAAUUUUAAAAUAAAAUUAGUAUCAAAAUUAAGACAUAGUGGGACAUUCAAUACACUGUUACACUAAUGCAUGUAGAAGUAUUCGUAACACUUUAACGUUAACAAAUUAAACCUUAUUGUAACUAUUUUAGUAAACAAAAUACUUUAUUAAUUUUUAAAUUCAACAUUUACUAGAGCAUGAUAAAAGUAAAAAAUUGCAUGUGCAAGCAUUCAUAAAUGCACUGUGAACAUUAACAUUACUAUCAGAGGUUAAUAAAUGCUGUAAAAAUAUAUAGUUAAUUGAUUGUUAGUUCAUGCAUAAACUGAGACUAUAGUAAAGUGUUACUGAAGAACUCAAGAAGAAGCAGGACAACACUAGUUUGCAUCCAAGUUUAUUUUUGAAAUUCCCUA